AAUAAUCGAGUAUUUUUGUUCUAUUAGUAAGAAAUCACUAUUGUUGCGUCAAAAAGUCACUAUCAUAAUCCACCAUACCAUAUGUUGUGAUAAAAAAAAAAAUAUCUUAUUGAUAAAAAUUUACAACACAAUCAGUAAAUACAACAUAAAGUUAGUACCAAAAAGCAAGUACAUCAUAAAGUCUCAAAUACAAGGUAAACAAAAAACACCCAUCAAAUGGACAAAUAAAUACAUAAUGUCCAAAGAGAUCCUGAUUCAUCUACAAACUACAAAGAAUACAAUAGGAAACAACUGGGAUAAAAAAACUGUGGUAACAAUAAUCUAUGGUAUAAAAUAAUCCAAUCAUAACUUAAAAGCAUAUAUCAAGGGCACAGCAGCAACAUAUAGCAGCACAACAUCCCUUCCAGAAACCAUCACCCCUGCUAGUAGUUUGGUCUGAAAUCUUUUGUUGAGGGUACCCUUGAGAGCCAUCCUUGGAAGGAUAACCCAUAGGUGGUGGGGCAGUUACAUAUGGUGCUGAAGAAUAACCCUCACCUUGUGGUGGAUAUGAUACUGGGGCUUGUUGCUGAUUGUUGAAGUUACUCAUGUUGAUGAUGAUAGAAAAUAUCAAAAGAGUUGUUGAAAGAUAAGAAAGAUAAUGGAAUUGUAUGAGAUAAUAUUGUAAAGUAUAGAGGGAAUAAUGUGUGUGUAUAUAUAUAUAGGUUUAAUUUGGAUAAACGCGUUACAGGUGAGUAAGGAAAGUGUAAGACGGAGUUUACAAUUGAGAUUCAGAUACAUACGCUAUGUGUUUUGAUUUGUGACACAUUUGUCGUUCCUUAUUCUUUAUGUUUCCAAACAUAUAUUCAAGGUUUUCCACGCGUAUGAUCCAAAUAUUCAGAAUUUUCUAGAUUAUAUUGUGUCGUCAACUCCAUCAUAAUAAUGGUCGGUCUAAAAAAAAAAUCGAGCAGUCAUAUUGAUUUAAUGAUAAGAUCAACUUUAUGUGCAAAUUUAAGAGUUGAAAUCCUAUAAUAAUGGUUUCAUAUUUUAUAAAAUUCUAUAAAUAAUAGAGUCAAAUUUUGCUUAAUGUAAAAUUGGAAUAGAUUCAUGCUUAUAAUUAACAACAUUUUUUUUUUAAGGAAUGCUAUAACAACACUUAUUGAACGAUAUUAAAUAUUUUUGUCAAUAAAAAUAGAAUAAUGAUACAUAGACACCCUUAGGUGGCAAUACACCCUUUGACACCCACACAAAAAUCUGACACGUAGUCACGUGGACCCCGCACAAGCACACUUUCUCUUUUAUCUCCUCUUCUCUCUUCCUAAUGCAUGAGGUGUACAAGGGUGUAUGGGAAUAAAGGGUGUCUAUGUAUCAUUACUCAUAAAAAUAUGCCUUAUAAAUGCUGUCAUAUGACAAAUAAAUACACUAUAUGAUUGAAAAUUGAACUAAAAAUGAAACGGGGGCAAAAUUCCAAAAGAAAGUUAAACAGGGGAGACAUAAAACUAAUUUUUUUUUUAAAAGGAGGACGAAAACUUCAAUAAUUUUUGAAAAUAUGGGGACAAAGAUAUAUGUAUUGAUAUAUGAAUAAAAAUAUAGACACAUGUACAAAUUGCACUUUUUUUUUCCGUAUUAAAUAUGAAUAAAAAUAUAAGCAUGUGUAUAAAUUAAAAAAAUCGGUCCCCGUAUUAAUAUAUAAAAGUUAAAAUAUAAACGCAUGUAUAAAUUAAAAAAUAUAAGUUCUUUUAUAUGAGUAAAAAUAUAGACACAGGUAUAAACAUAAAAAAAUUAGGUCUAUGUAUUAAUUUUUUUUUUGAAAAAUCUAAAAUGGAAUAUAUUAUUGAAGCCUGAAAAAAUUUCAGCAGAAGAAGUGCAAAAACCCCAGCCAAAAGAGUAUCAAAUUAAAUAUUUCAUUUGUGUAUGUACUUUCACCAUCUUUUGGCAUUAGUCUUCACUUUUUUCAUUUAGCUUAUAUCCAUCCACUUUGUAAAAAUAUUGUUAUUAGUCAUUCUGUUAGUUUUAUGUUUUAAAAAAAAACUAACGGCUUGCCACAUGGCGUGGAAUAACCAAUUCACAUAGCGCACGAUUAGUUUUUUUUAAUAUGCAGCUAACAGAAGGACCAAUAACACUAUUUUUACAAAGUGCAUAGACUUAAACCAAACAAAAUAAAAAGUGCACAAACUAAUGUCAAAAAGUACAGAGACGAACCACAUGUUUAAUUCAUAAGAUGAAGUAUGUAUGACAAUCAUUUAGGGAUUCAAUUUGGAGAUAUUGAUUUUUUGUUUAAGGAUUAAAGUGACCAUUUACUCUUUUAUAUAAUUAUGUAUGUCAUAUUUAAGUCAUAAGAUGAAGUAUGUAUAAUAAAAGAGGAAAUUAGAUGAGAUUUAAAGAUUUGAGGAUUAAAUGCGGGAUUUAGGGAUUUGAAAUUCAACUUGGGAAUAUUGAUUUUCAAUUCUGGAACUAAAAUGAUCAUUUUCUAUUUUCACUUUAGUCCAUAUGACACCUCAUCAGCUAACGGAAGUUUUUAACAUCAGAGACUAAAAUGAUAACAAAAGUGCAUAUUCAGAGACUACUUUGUAUUUAAUAUUGAAUCAGGACUUUUGUGACAGCGAGGUGCGUAUAAUCAGGUAUCAAAAUGACUAUUUACUCUUGUAUAUAAGAAGAGAGAGUUCUUCUACUUCUACAUACAACUUCUCUCAAUAGUCAAUUGGUAUUCUUUUUUUUUUUUGCAGAGACCAACUAUUUUUACUCAUUCUUGUUGGGUGGACAAAUAUGACUACGAGUUGAAGAAACAAUAUAGUCUAGAAAGACAUGAAUGUUUGGAAGCAUACUACGCGUGCAAAACUAAAAAUUCCAUUGUAAGAAAACAAACAAACAAAUGUGUCAUAAAACAAAGCACAUACCGUAUCAAGCAUUAAUGUAAACGCCGUCCUAUACUUUGCUUUCUUACCUGUAACGCGUUUAUCCAACACGUCAAAUAGAAUUUUUCCAUUUGCAUUAAGGAACCAUAUAGUAUAUAUACACAUUUUUGCUUCCAUAUUUUUCAAUCACAUAACUACAAUUCCAUAAUCUUCUUUCUUUUCCUUCAAAAACUCUUUGAUAAUUUUAACUUCAUAACAUCACUAUGAGUCACUUUAACAAUCAGCAACAAACCCCAGUAUCAUAUCCACCACAGGCUUAUUCUUCAGCUCCAUAUGUAACUGCCCCACCACCUAUGGGUUAUCCUUCCAAGGAUGGCUCUCAAGGGUACCCUCAACAAAAGAUUUCAGACCAAACUACUAGCAGGGGUGAUGGUUUCUGGAAGGGAUGUUGUGCUGCUAUAUGUUGCUGCUGUGCCCUUGAUAUAUGCUUUUAAGUUAUGAUUGGAUUAUUUUAUACCAUAGAUUAUUGUUACCACAGUUUUUUUAUCCCAGUUGUUUCCUAUUGUAUUCUUUGUAGUUUGUAGAUGAAUCAGGAU
rnacentral:lncRNA from 1 species